GGAAAAGAAACCAACAGGGAUUGCCCUAGUAACGGCGAGUGAAGCGGCAACAGCUCAAAUUUGAAAUCUGGCCUUCUGGUCCGAAUUGUAAUUUGUAGAGGAUGACUUUGGUUAGGUACCUUCCGAGUUCCUUGGAACAGGACGCCUUAGAGGGUGAGAGCCCCGUACGGUUGGAUGCCGAUCCUUUGUAAGUCUCCUUCGACGAGUCGAGUAGUUUGGGAAUGCUGCUCUAAAUGGGAGGUAAAUUUCUUCUAAAGCUAAAUACCGGCCAGAGACCGAUAGCGCACAAGUAGAGUGAUCGAAAGAUGAAAAGCACUUUGAAAAGAGGGUUAAAUAGUACGUGAAAUUGUUGAAAGGGAAGGGUUUAUGACCAGACCUUUGCGUUGGGAAUCAUCCGGUGUUCUCACCGGUGCACUUCCCUUCGUUGAGGCCAGCAUCAGUUCUAGUUGGGGGAUAAAGACAUUAGGAAUGUGAUUCCUCCGGGAAUGUUAUAGCCUUUUGUGUAAUACCCUGACCGGGACUGAGGACCGCGCUUCGGCUAGGAUGCUGGCAUAAUGGUCAUCAGCCACCCGUCUUGAAACACGGACCAAGGAGUCGAACAUUUAUGCGAGUGUUUGGGUGUUAAACCCUCACGCGUAAUGAAAGUGAACGGAGGUGAGAGCCCUUACGGGUGCAUCAUCGACCGAUCCUGAUGUCUUCGGAUGGAUUUGAGUAAGAGCAUAACUGUUCGGACCCGAAAGAUGGUGAACUAUGCGUGGAUAGGGUGAAGCCAGAGGAAACUCUGGUGGAGGCUCGCAGCGGUUCUGACGUGCAAAUCGAUCGUCAAAUCUGCGCAUGGGGGCGAAAGACUAAUCG
rnacentral:rRNA from 1 species